GACGAACGCUGGCGGCGUGCUUAACACAUGCAAGUCGAACGGUGAAGGGGUCUGCUUUUGUGGGCCCUGGAUGAGUGGCGAACGGGUGAGUAACACGUGAGUAACCUGCCCCCUUCUUCUGGAUAACCGCAUGAAAGUGUGGCUAAUACGGGAUAUUCUGGGUCUGUCGCAUGAUGGGUCUGGGAAAGAUUGCGCCUUUGGGUGUUUUUGGUGGGGGAUGGGCUCGCGGCCUAUCAGCUUGUUGGUGGGGUGAUGGCCUACCAAGGCGGUGACGGGUAGCCGGCCUGAGAGGGUGGACGGUCACACUGGGACUGAGACACGGCCCAGACUCCUACGGGAGGCAGCAGUGGGGAAUAUUGCACAAUGGGCGCAAGCCUGAUGCAGCGACGCCGCGUGAGGGAUGGAGGCCUUCGGGUUGUAAACCUCCUUCGCCAGUGAAGCAGGCCUGCUCCUUGUGGGUGGGUUGACGGUAGCUGGAUAAGAAGCGCCGGCUAACUACGUG
rnacentral:rRNA from 1 species